CACGUGAGUAACCUGCCCUUGACUCUGGGAUAAGCCUGGGAAACUGGGUCUAAUACCGGAUACGACCAUCUGGCGCAUGUCAUGGUGGUGGAAAGCUUUUGUGGUUUUGGAUGGACUCGCGGCCUAUCAGCUUGUUGGUGGGGUAAUGGCCUACCAAGGCGACGACGGGUAGCCGGCCUGAGAGGGUGACCGGCCACACUGGGACUGAGACACGGCCCAGACUCCUACGGGAGGCAGCAGUGGGGAAUAUUGCACAAUGGGCGCAAGCCUGAUGCAGCGACGCCGCGUGAGGGAUGACGGCCUUCGGGUUGUAAACCUCUUUCAGUAGGGAAGAAGCCGUAAGGUGACGGUACCUGCAGAAGAAGCGCCGGCUAACUACGUGCCAGCAGCCGCGGUAAUACGUAGGGCGCAGGCGUUAUCCGGAAUUAUUGGGCGUAAAGAGCUCGUAGGCGGUUUGUCGCGUCUGCUGUGAAAGACCGGGGCUCAACUCCGGUUCUGCAGUGGGUACGGGCAGACUAGAGUGCAGUAGGGGAGACUGGAAUUCCUGGUGUAGCGGUGAAAUGCGCAGAUAUCAGGAGGAACACCGAUGGCGAAGGCAGGUCUCUGGGCUGUAACUGACGCUGAGGAGCGAAAGCAUGGGGAGCGAACAGGAUUAGAUACCCUGGUAGUCCAUGCCGUAAACGUUGGGCACUAGGUGUGGGGGACAUUCCACGUUUUCCGCGCCGUAGCUAACGCAUUAAGUGCCCCGCCUGGGGAGUACGGCCGCAAGGCUAAAACUCAAAGGAAUUGACGGGGGCCCGCACAAGCGGCGGAGCAUGCGGAUUAAUUCGAUGCAACGCGAAGAACCUUACCAAGGCUUGACAUGAACCGGUAAUACCUGGAAACAGGUGCCCCGCUUGCGGUCGGUUUACAGGUGGUGCAUGGUUGUCGUCAGCUCGUGUCGUGAGAUGUUGGGUUAAGUCCCGCAACGAGCGCAACCCUCGUUCUAUGUUGCCAGCGGUUCGGCCGGGGACUCAUAGGAGACUGCCGGGGUCAACUCGGAGGAAGGUGGGGACGACGUCAAAUCAUCAUGCCCCUUAUGUCUUGGGCUUCACGCMUGCUACAAUGGCCGGUACAAAGGGUUGCGAUACUGUGAGGUGGAGCUAAUCCCAAAAAGCCGGUCUCAGUUCGGAUUGGGGUCUGCAACUCGACCCCAUGAAGUCGGAGUCGCUAGUAAUCGCAGAUCAGCAACGCUGCGGUGAAUACGUUCCCGGGCCUUGUACACACCGCCCGUCAAGUCACGAAAGUUGG
rnacentral:rRNA from 1 species